GGGGAAACCCUGACGCAGCAACGCCGCGUGAAUGAUGAAGGCCUUAGGGUUGUAAAGUUCUGUCUUCUGGGACGAUAAUGACGGUACCAGAGGAGGAAGCCACGGCUAACUACGUGCCAGCAGCCGCGGUAAUACGUAGGUGGCAAGCGUUGUCCGGAUUUACUGGGCGUAAAGGAUGCGUAGGCGGAUAUUUAAGUCAGAUGUGAAAUACCCGGGCUCAACUUGGGUGCUGCAUUUGAAACUGGAUAUCUAGAGUGCGGGAGAGGUAAGUGGAAUUCCUAGUGUAGCGGUGAAAUGCGUAGAGAUUAGGAAGAACACCAGUGGCGAAGGCGACUUACUGGACCGUAACUGACGCUGAGGCAUGAAAGCGUGGGGAGCAAACAGGAUUAGAUACCCUGGUAGUCCACGCCGUAAACGAUGUAUACUAGGUGUAGGAGGUAUCGACCCCUUCUGUGCCGCAGUUAACACAAUAAGUAUUCCGCCUGGGGAGUA
rnacentral:rRNA from 1 species